AUUGAACGCUGGCGGCAGGCCUAACACAUGCAAGUCGAACGGGUGGAGGACGGGUGGAUAGUGUAUGAGAAACUGCCUGAUGGAGGGGUAUAACUGGGGGAACCGGUAGCUAAUACCGCAUACCGUCCGAUGUGCCCAGAUGGGUUGAGCUUGUUGGUGGGGAAACGGCUCACCAAGGCGACGACCCCUAGCUGGGCUGAGAGGAUGACCAGCCACACUGGAACUGAGACACGGUCCAGACUCCUACGGGAGGCAGCAGUGGGGAAUAUUGCACAAUGGGCGCAAGCCUGAUGCAGCCAUGCCGCGUGUAUGAAGAAGGCCUUCGGGUUGUAAAGUACUUUCAGCGGGGAGGCGUUACCCGCAGAAGAAGCACCGGCUAACUCCGUGCCAGCAGCCGCGGUAAUUC
rnacentral:rRNA from 1 species